rnacentral:rRNA from 1 species
UACGAACCGUCCAAACGUUACUCGGAAUCACUGGGCUUAAAGGGUGCGUAGGCCGCGCGGCGGGUGGGAUGUGAAAUCCCCCGGCUCAACCGGGGAAUAGCUUCCCAAACCGCCGUGCUCGAGGGAGACAGAGGUGAGCGGAACUGAUGGUGGAGCGGUGAAAUGCGUUGAUAUCAUCAGGAACACCAGUGGCGAAAGCGGCUCACUGGGUCUUUCCUAACGCUGAGGCACGAAAGCUAGGGGAGCGAACGGG